rnacentral:lncRNA from 1 species
AUUAGUGCUCACUCUCACCCCAGUGCCCCACACAUCUUCAAUCAGCUUCGCACUAGUCCCUUGAUCCGUCCACUGAGGAAAAGCUACCAUCGGUACACCGGCAACCAAGCUCUCUAACGUCGAGUUCCACCCACAAUGCGUCACAAAGCAACCCAACGACGGAUGAGACAACACUUCUACUUGCGAACACCAUGGAACCACCAUUCCAAUUUGUUCCAAUUCUUCCCUGCAAGUUAACUUAUCUUCUUCUUUCUCUUCUUCGCCUCUAUCUUUCCGGUUCCUCAUCACCCAUAAAAACGGUCGCCGGCUGGAUAUUAAAGCUCGAGCGAUUUCCUCCACUUGUUGCUUCUUCAACGCCGCGAUACUCCCGAAGGAAACGUAAACGACGGCCGAUUUUGGUUUGGAGUCUAACCAUUGGAUGUAAUCUUUUGAAUCGGAUUGAAAAAGAUCGACUCUUAAGGAAUUAUCUAAUGCGUCUUUUGAGUUAAAGAAUGAAGAUGGGACUAAAGGUCCAAUACCAACUGUCUUGAACUUUUCAAUGGCGUUUAAUGCUUCGUGUUCCAAAGCAUCGAAGGUGUUAAUAAGGAUUUUAGCGUUGGGUUCUUCUGCGAGGACGUCCAUUUGUUCUUGGAACAACGACAGUGCCGAUUGGUAAACGUUCGAAGCGAUGACGAACGAUGGAAGGUCGCGGGGGAAGAGUGGCGGUAGACCUGGUAAUUUUAUCGAACACUUCGGGUUUGUUUCAUCAGCUUGAGCUUUAAUGGCGGAUUCGUAUCCGUUGAAGUAAAAAUAAUAGAUGUCGAAAACGGUGGCGGGUUGAAUCCAGAGUAAAGCUGACGGGAUGUGAUGUUUACGCGCCACCUCCGCAGCCCAAUGAAGGCAUAAAGAGUAGACAAUGCAAGUAAUGGGUUUACCUUCGUUUUCACUACUUGUUAUAUACUCAGAGAUGGCAUCUUUGCCUCGUCGCUUGAAUUCAGACAAGUAAUGGUCUGUGUCAUCGCCGGGUUUAAUUCCGUAGUCGUAGCCAUCUGAAAAAGGUAAAAACGAUAGGCCUUCAGCGGUGGGGACUUUGGUCAUGCGGCGGCUGGCGGAGAUGCUGGUGAUGUAAGUUACACGUACGCCGAGACGAAUAAGAUGUUUGGCGAAUUGUAAGGUCGGGUUUAUGUGGCCUUGUGCAGGAUAGGUCACUACGAUGAAAUGAGGUUGUGGCAUGAUGGUGAUGGCGGCGCGUGUUGGCGCGUGGGUAGUGAAUUAUCCUUUCUCUUUUUACUAAUUUGGAGUAAUUGGUGAAGGAAAUUAAUGGGUUUUUAUCGUGAUGAGAGGAAUUCAUAAAAGGUGACGUUUGAGCUGACGAAUUUCAUAGAUUCCUAAACCUUUUUGGAUUUAUCUGGUGUUUUUUAAAGGCUUAGGUUGCAGCUUGAUGCAUGAUGCUGUCAGAGACAGCUUCAGACUACACGACUCUUGGGGGACACUAAACUGGUAAGUUUAUAUUUGGUGAAACUACCUACCAAGUUAUCCAUCUAUGCUUACACUGUUUUUUUACUCACUCAAUUUUUAAAACUUUCGAAACGGUCACUCAAUUAAUUGAGUUCGAUAUUUUUGAUCCAUAUCCCUUAAGCAUUGUUAAAUGCCUUAUCUUUGCAUAUCUGGUAGAUUAGGUAUUUGUAAAGUUGAGGGUUAAUUUUUGAAAUUUAUGAUUAAAUUGACAUAAAAUAUAAAUUUUGAUGGCUAAAUUUGUUAUUAUACUAAUUUUAAAGUAUUACCUCAACCUCGUGUCAAACCCUUAACUGAAAUGGACAGAAAAAUAAAUUUGAUUAGUUAGGUGACAAUUUUGAAAGUUUUAAAAGUUGAGUGUAAAAAAAGAAGCUUAAACAUAUUUGAGUGGCUUGCAAUGUAGAUUAGCUUCCAUAUUUUGAUUACUCAACUUUUAGAUUUUACAAAAUGGUCACUGAACUAUUCGAAAGUUUUCAUUUAAGUAACUAAAUUAUUCGAAAUUUAUAAUUUAAGUCACUAGGCCGUUAAAUAUUUUUUUAAGUCCGAUUAGCAAGCUCCAAAUAGGGGUGAUAUCAGUUCGGUUUGGUUGAGUUUUUCAAAUCUUUUGAAUUGUCCAUCAUAAUUAGGUUUGGCUCGGUUCAGUUUUUCCAUAUUAAUUUUUUAUUUUGAUUUUUUAAAUUUAUUUUGAUAAAAUGAGCUUUGUUUUAUGGCUUUUGAAUAUUAUUUGACAAAAUUUCAAGAUUUUUUUCAUAAAUAUUUCUAAAAUACAAUAAUCUUUUAAAAAUUUUAAAUAAUUUACACUAUUUUAAAUAUAAAAUAUUUAUUUUUAUAUCAUAAAAAAUAAAAUGACUUAUAUAUUAAAAAAAAACACAAUUCAGUUUAGUUUUAGGUAACUGCAAUUUUUAAACUUGCAUUCCAUAAAUCAUCUAAAUACCUUGGUUAGGGUUGGUUUUCGAUUUGGUUAGUUUGUUUGCACAACCUUAGCUCUAAGCGACUAUUCGACGAUUGAUACAGUGAAUCAGUACACAUUGAUAAGUAAAAGAACAUACUUUAAAUCCAAAUUGAUCUAACGGUUAGUGUCAGAGAUCGAAGAAGAAAGUUGUUUAGAUUUUAAUUUGUAAAUUUGUGACGUUCAAAACUAUUUCAUGAAAAAAAAUUGAACUAUAGAAAAGAAGAGAAGAGAUCUUUCGGUUGGUGCAAGCAUUGCAAGCGGAGAAGGCCAUACAAUAACAAUUUUAACAGUCCAUCAAGUUAAAUGAAAAUUUUCAAAUAGUUCAAUGACCAUUUUGUAGUUUUUUUAAGCUGACUGAUCAAAACAUAAAUUUACUAAUAAUUUAGCAACCUUGAAUGUAGUUUACUCAAAUUAUUAAUAAUGAUGAUUUUUUUUUUUUUGUGAUGGAAUUUCGAUUGAAUUUUAUUAAUUAAUUUUAAAAAAAAUUUAUAAAUCGAAGUAAAUUUAGGGAAAAUCUACUCUUUUUUGAUACAAUGCUUAGAGCUACCCAUAGCCGUCCCCACUUUUAAAUAGGAGAACAAACUCAAACUCACAUCCUCCUACACUGACAACAAUGCCGAUGCUAAUCAAAUUAAGACUUAGUUGACAACUACAUCAACUUUUAAUUAUUCAUAUUUUGUAAAAGUAAUUUUUGGUGAAAGUUAUAGUGAAAGUUAUCAUAUUGGUGGUUAGGUGUGAUUGACCAUUGAGUUAUAAUUAUUAUAGUAUCAAGAAAAGUUAACCGAGUUGAUUAGAGUGUGAGGUGAAUAAAUUAAUUUUUCAAAAUUUUAAUAGUAGGAAUGGAAGAAUAUUUUUACAAUGUUAUUUCAUGAAUUAUGUAAAUAUAUUAAUUGACGUGACAAAUUAAUUUAACAUUAAUAUCUUAAUUAAAAUGAUUAUAUAUAUUUUUUACAAAGUAACAAAUAACGUUACGAGGGUUUUUUGUUUUUACAUUUUUAUAUAAAAUUUAUAAAAAUCAAUUUAAACCCGUAAUAAAUCUCUAAAAAUAUUUAAACAUUUUGAAAUUUUAACUCGAGACAAACCGUAGUUUCUAGCCAAAAUUUUACCAUUACAAUUAAAAUUUUAUUUAUUUUUAUAUAAAAUUGUCCAUAAUUUUUUUCACAUGGUGAGUGUUGUUAAUAUAUUUUGAAAACAAAUUUAGAUAUAUUACUGAAAAUCAAUUUAUUUUCCAUAAAAACUUUGGAGUAUUAUUAGUAUAGGUCUAGAUUUAUAUGGUGGCCCGAAUAUGAAUUGGGCUUAAUUGAAACCUACGAAAGGCCUGAUCUAGUAGUUAAAAGUGAUUAAACCAUUUUUAUUAAAAGCUUAAUUAAACGGGAGAUACUUAAACUAUUAGGUUUGUUUGAGUUAGGUAUUUAAAUUAUUUUUUUAUCGAUCCGAGUACCUAAACUUUGAAUUAGUUAUUGAAAUAAGUACAUGCUGUUAGUGUUGUUAAAAAAAAAAAAAACUCUAGCCAAUGGUAUCGUCUCACGUUAUUAUUAGCGAUAGAGUCCUACUUGUUAUAUUUGAAAUUGACCAUUUAUUGAAAUAAAAUCUUUAGGUUAGAUUAAUAUUGUGGAAUUAUUCAGGCCCAUCAAUAGAUAUUAAUCCAUUUAGAGAAACAUAUUUUUAAGGAUUGGAUCGGAUCAGAUCAAUCUUACCAAAUUCUUUCGAUUAAGGAUGUUUGAUCGGGACAAAACUUGAGGACUUAUCUUCCAACAAUCCUCUUUACUUUAGUUGUUAUUUAUUAUAUUGGAUUUAACUAUUUAGUUGUUGUUCAAAGGGGAUUGUAAUUAAUCUUUAGUAUGUGAGUAAGUCUUGGAAAACUUCUACAUAUUUGAGAUACUUGUAUAGAUUUCUGUAUAGAAUUUUUUAGAGCACUUACCAGUUCACGUAGGAACGUUAUUGUGAGAUUGCAAAUGAGAUAGUAAAACCUAUUGUUGCCUUGAUGAUGGUUUUACAAACUAUGUGCUCGGGGGGAGAAUUUCAUGGUAAAAAAUCUAGCCUUUGAGUACAACAUUGAGGUUACUAGACCAGGGUGUGAUAGAACUAGGAUUACUUGUUGUAUUGAGUUCAAAGAUAGUAAAUUCAUCUCAUUGAGCUAGAUUGUGUAGACGUAGGAAACCGAAUUGAUAAACAAUUUCUUAUCAGCUUUUUUUUUUAAUCACAAUGUUAUCAGAAUACCCAAUUUCACUAUCACUUCCAUUCAUACUUUAUUUAUUAAGAUAUUAACAAUUAAUUUACGUUAACAUAUUCAACAGACAAACAAUAAGUUUUUUUUUUUAACAUUAAUCUUAUUAUCUGUUCUUAUCAUAUAUGUUAUUUUUUAUACAAUAGCUAAAGCUACCUAUAGCCCCUCUCCAACCCUAAAAUAGGAGGAUAAUGCGCUUCAGCACAUUCAAACCCAAACCCUCCUGCAUUGACAGCAAUACCAAUACCAAUCAAAUUAAGACUCAAUCGAAUAAUUUUUUUAAAAUUACAAACAAAUGAUAAAUCUAUUUCCAUAGAAGAUUUUUUGUGUAUAAUUAAAGUUAAGUGUCAUUUGGUUGUUUCCCACCCAAUGGAACCUGAUUAAUGGGAUUUUGGUAUAUCUUAUAAAGUAUUAAUUUAAUUUUAUAAUAAAAUCACAAGAAUAUGUUUGGUUGAUUAAACAUUUGUGUAAGACCUAAAUUUUGCCCGGGCCCAACUAAACCUAAAGCCCACACUAAAUCAGUCCCAACAUUUAGCCUACUACUCUAAACCCAAUGACCCAAUACAAACAGCCCAAAUACAUAGCCCUAACAGCACACAUCCGAAAAACCCUAGCCCUUUGCCCCAGCACCGCACGUCAGCUAGGAUCCCUCGUACGAUUCCGCAAACGCUGCAGCAAUUGCUCACAUCGCAACUCUAAUAGGAGAUACAGCAAAUUGUAAAGAAGUUUUGGCUAUAAAAAGCCAAUGGAUUUCUGUAAUAAGGGUUAGCAAAUUUUUGAUAGAAAAAUUAAAAAGAAAAUACAAGAGAAACAAACAUUUUGAAGGUGACAGGUUGUUGUUUCUUUUCUUCUGUUCUUUUACCGCUUUCAUUUUACUUUUGUUUUUCUUUUGUUUCUAAAACAAAAGAGAUUAAAGAAAGGGAGUAAAGGAAAACUUACCAGCGUGGCGUCGAUGAAGCCCUUUGUUUCAUUACCGUCAGAGCAGGGGAGGAGUUUUAAGGGUAGAGAAACGAUGCAAUGACAAAGAAAGAAAGAAAAUGGUUUUUAGGGUUUGAAAAAGGGGUUUUUAAUUGAUUUUAAAACGGCGCCGUAUUUGGUGUACCCGAAUGCCCGCGUUGUAACACCCCUUACCCGUAGUCGACACCGAAAUAGGGUAUGAGGUAUUACCAGAACAAAUACACUUGUAAACAUAUUUAACCGAGUUAUAAAAUUUCAUCUAAAUUAAAACUUUCAAAAUUAUUAACAUGAUUUUAUAACUCUUCACAAUAUAUCCUCGAGAUGUUAUUAUAAUUUUAAUAAUUAGGGCCUAUGAGACCUGAUACAUACUCAUGCAAUUCAAUACUUCAUUUCCAUUUCACUCAAUUCGCAAUUUCUCAUGCUCACGAUUUAGAUCAUAUCACUAGCAAUUUCCAUUUAAUUCACAUACAAUUCAAUCUCAUUAAGUUUAACACUAAUACGUAUUUACCAUUUAAUUCAACGUUUGUCCAUUAUACCAUUCGUUAACACAUUUAUGAAAUUCUAAAUUUUGCAAUGAAAAUAUCAUUUUAGCUUAAAUAACAACAUCAUCCUGGUAUAAAUACACUACCACUUAUCCAUUUUCUUUAAUUCUUUUGGGUCAAUUUGUCACUUACCGUCCUUAUCAAAUUAGGGAACUGUUAUGGAAAAUUAAGUAUUUCACUUUCACUUUGCCAUAGUAUAACUAUGGUCUUACGUAUGACCACUUAUCAUUUGUCCUUGAUCAGAUAAGUGUAGCUAGGCUACCACUUAUCACUUUGUCACUUGAUCAGAUAAGUGUAGCUAAGGCUACCACUUAUCACUUUGUCACUUGAUCAUAUAAGUGUAGCUAAAGCUACCACUUAUCACUUUGUCACUUGUCACUGAUCAGAAGUACUCAAAUCCGGCGUUCCGCUCAAUUUGAUCAUUUAUUCAGUUUUCGCAUUUUUAUUUUAUUCUCAUUUCAACAUUAGAUAUGUUAGUCAAAUACACAUAUAGCAUAAGCAUUAUAAGCAUGGAUGAGCACAACAUUUCUUCAUGUAUCAUGCUUACCAACAUGUGUUAAUUCAUAAACCAUUCAUGAUAUUUUUUUAUGCCAAAUCAUAUACCGAAUAUGCCAUACACACAUACUAUGAAACUUUAUUUUCAUACAUGAGCUUAGACCAUGACCAAUAAUGCACAAAUAUAAGCAUCAUUUCCAUUUCAUCGUUUAUCAAUUAUAAUCAAGCAUAUGACCAAUUAUACACAAAUCAUUCAUAUAUUUCCCAAUUUUCCUCCUCCCCCUCUACAUUCCACAUCCUUAAUGUGUAUAACACACUUAAACAACAUUAACUAUAAUUUCACUAUUCACUCACAUGUAUAUUAAAAGCUGUUUAUCCGAGUCAGAGUUACUAAAUUAUUUUUAUCUAAAGCUACAGAGCUCCAAAUUAAGAUCUGUUAAUUUUCCCUGAAACUAGACUCACGUAUCUUCUUGCCAUAAAAUUUUCAGAAUUUUUGGUUCAGCCAAAUAGUACAGUUUAUUCUUUAAAGUUUCCUCUGUUUCGCUGUCUGACAGUUCCGACCACUCUUCACUAAAAAUUAAUUAUCUCAUUGUAAUGAAUUCGGAUGUUGUUUCCAUUUGUUUAUUAUAAAAAUAGACUCAUUAAAUAUUCUAACCAUAUAAAUUAUAACUCAAAUUAAUUUUUUCACAAUUUUUAAUGAUUUUCCAAAGUCAGAACAGGGGAACCCGAAUUCAUUCUGACCUUGUCUCACAAAAUCUAUAAUAUCUCAUGAUUUAGAAUUCCAUUGCUUACACUGUUUCUUUUAUAAGAAACUAGACUCAAUAAGAUUUAAUUUUAUAUUUUAUUAAUCCUCUAAUUCAAUCGCUACAAUUUUUGGUAAUUUUUCAAAGUUAGACUACUGCUACUGUCCAAAACUGUUUUAGUGCAAAUAUUGAUUACUAAGUCUAUAACACUCUUAUUUUCCUUCUCUACACUAUUUCUCAACACUUUCUCUUAUUUUCUUUUCACUAACAUAUCAAGAACAUAUAAUCUUAUAUAAUAAAACCCUACAUUAACAUCAAUCUCAUACUUUUUCAAUAAUAUCAAACUCAAAAAUAUGUUGAAAUCAUGAUGUUCUUACCUUGCUCAAUUGACUUCAAUCUUUAACUUGAUUUUCUCUCUCCUCCAGCCUCUAUUUCUUGAAUCUAACUUGAUAUUCUAGCUCCCCAUAGUCUCCUUGCCAAUUUUAUCUCUUGGUGGCUAUGAAAAUUUCUCUGAUUUCUAAGUGAAAAUGAUAGAUUUUUGGUCAAAGGACCAAAUUGUAAAGAAAGCAAAACUUUCUUUCUUUUUCUCUCUUCUCACAUUGGUUGCAUGGAAGAAGAAGAUGAUUCUUCCUCUUUUAUUCCAUAUAUAUAUAUAUAUAUAUACUAAAUAAAAUAAUAAUAAAAUAAGAAAAUGUCAUUUAAAUAUCUAAUUAAAAUACUAAUAAACUAAUAUUUACUUAUUUAUUUAAUCUAAAUAUCUCCAACAUCAUCAUUAUUUUCUAGAUUUCUCUUUCUUCUAAUUGACCAUUUUGCCCUUUGGAUCUUUUAAAAUUCCAUCCUUGAGUCAUCACUUAAUUUGGUAAAAUUAUAAUUUAAUCCCUCAUAAUUCUUCAUCUAUUCAAUUUGGUCCCAAUUCAUCCAUUUUUCUUACUUUCUAGAUUAUUCCACUCUUAAAAUAUUUACACUAUUGGUCCUUUAACUUUUUCAUAUUUACACUUUAACCCCUCAACUUUUUAGUAUUUACUCGUGGGUAACAAAACUUUUCUCACUUUUGCAAUUUAAUCCUUUCUUGAAUUAAUAUGUCAUAAAGCAUAAAUUUUAAAAUAAAUUUUUUUCCUCGUCAGAUUUGUGGUCCCAAAACCACUGUUUCAACUAGACCCAAAAAAAUCGGGCUGUUACACGCGUGACCCGAUCCAAAAACCGAUCAGAUUCGCAUGUUUUAAGUUGAUGGGUUAUUUAUAAUUUAGGCCCUUCAUGUUUUUAUGGUUUUCAAAAUCACUGUUUUUUAUUAUUUUCAAAUUUUUUCCAUGAAACAUUGUUAAUGUUUUGAUUUAAUCCAAUAUCGCGCAAUGCUUCGAGUGGUUUGGGUAAAUUGUUUUUUUGGUCCUCCCCUUGGUUGCGCAUGUUUAAAUUACUCCCUUUCUUAUUUUUAUUUUCAAAUUCAGCUCUCAAAUUCCGUUUGGUUUUGAAACUUAAUCUUUAAUUUGUUUUUUUUUUAGUUUUUUUAUAUUUAUUUAUUAUUAUAUUGUUUAUAUUGUUUAUUAGUAUAAUUAUUAGUAUAUUAUUAUUAUUGUCCGUAUAUAUAUGCGCAUGUAUAUAUGUUAAUAUAUAUAUAUAUAUAUGUAUAUUCUAAAUGUUUUAAAUACAUAUAUGUAGUACGUAUAUAUCUUAUUAUCAUAUCAUUUUAUUUUUAUAGUUUAUAUAUAUUUUAUAUACAUUCAUAUUUUUUAUGAUAUUUAUAUUUUCAUGUUUUAUAAUUCAUAUGUUUAUACAUUUUUAUAACGUGUACAUAUAUUUUUACAUUCUUUUCAAGGCUAUUAUAAAUAUUUUCCAUAAUUUUAUAUUUACUAAUACAUUAUACUUAUACAUUUUUUAAAAAAGUAUUAAUAUAUUUUAUAUGUAUUUUAUCAUUGUUUUAUUUUUAUGACUUACGUUUUUUCUCUCAUAUCCAUGUACAUGUUUGCUAAAAUUGUUUAUAUACCAUACUUAUGUAUACAUAUAAUUUAAAUUAAAAUAUUUGUUUCAUAUUGCAUUGACAUUUUCAACAUAUUUUUCAAAUACAUUUUGAUUUUGUCAGAACAUUAAAAUUAUUUUUUAUGAUUCAAAGGUUUUUAAAAUAAAAACGAGAUUCAAAGUUAGGGAUUUUCGAGGAAAAUUGAGCCCUAACGUAUUGGGUUCCGAUUUUCUUUGUUAAUUCUAAAUAACCGAGAAUAUUCGUUAUUUAAAAUAUAUAAGUAAAAAUCAUUUUUGGGAACUUAAUUCGUUAUGUCCUAACGUAUUGGGCAUGACAUAAUUGCUUCCUCGAAAUGAAGAUUUACUUAUAAAGCAAAAGUGAUAUUCAAAAUUCUGGAAUUUUGAGAAAUUGUAUCCUAACGUAUUGGGUCUCAAUUUCUUCGUAUGACUUGAAUAAUUACUAUCCUUUUCAGAUUUCAAUGUUUGAGCUUAACAAAAUCUUUUAAAUUUUCGACACCAAGACAUUAAAUAAUUAAAUUCGGUACCGAUUUUUUUUGGGCGUUACGAGGGUGUUAACCCUUCCUCGUGCGUAACUGACUCCCGAACCUGUUUUCUCAAAUUUCGUAGGCCACAUUUGUUUUUCAGGUGAGCCGAUCACACCUAAAUCACGGACCGGUGGCGACUCAAAUUUUUAUUUUUAAAGGUCGACAAACUAAAUUUCUGUUUUCAAAAAAAUGGUUUCGACAAUUUGCUUAGAAUAAUUUAUAUUGCAAUAUGUAUCACCAACCAUUUCUUUUACAAAAAAUAUUUAUUAUUUUUAAGUUUAAAUUUAAUAUAUAAAAAUUAAAAAAUUAAAAAUAAAAAUUUAAAUAAAGUAUUUUUUAGGGAAAUUAUCUCAAUAAUGGAAUAUUCAUUAUUAACCUGUCCAUUUUUAGCAAAAAAAAGAAAAGAAGAAAAAGACACUAUUCUAAUUAAAGAAAAAACAGACACUAUUCACGUGUCACGCGAGUGGUGUCAUUCGACAAUUACUAAUUUUAUAUUAUUUUAUUAUUUUCUGUUAUAAUUAUUUAAUAUUAAUAUUAAUAUAAGUUUUAUUAUAUAAAUAUUUUUUAUUUAACACAUUCAUAUUAUAUAUUUCAUUUAUUCAUUUAAAUUCUUAAUUCGAUUGGUAUGAGUAUUGUUGUCAAUACAGGAGGAUGUGAGUUCGAGUGCACUAAAACGCAUUAUCCUCCUAUUUAUGGGUUGAUGAGAGACUAUGAACAAUUCCAAAUAUUAUAUAAAAAAAAAAGCAGAUAUGAAAAAUCUAUAAUGAAAUUAUUACUAUCAAGAAGAUAAUGCCUUUUCAUUAAUUUGAUAAUUUGAUAUUGAUUUUAUUUUACCUUUAUCAACGACAAUUAUUGAUUUAAAAUUUCGAAAAUAACAUUUUUGAAACAUUUGAAAAUAAUAUUAUUAAAAAAAACAGUUUAGAUUGAAUAGUUAGUAGAUUAAUAUGUUCUUGGAGGAUGUAGAUUAACGAUAUAAUUAUGUUUAAAAUUUUAAUUUGGAUUUUUAAAUAAUUUUUAUUUUUUACGCCUUAUAAAAAUUAGAGUUAAUUGUAUCAAAUAUCUUUAAAUUAUGACUCUUAUUUUAAUUUGGUCUUCAAAAUUUAAAUCAUUCUAAUUAUAUCAUUAAAUUAUCAAUGUUAUAUCAAAUAAGGUUCUUCCGUUACUAAAAUUGUUAACUUAACCGCUAAAUAAGAUGUCAGAUCUUACGUGAUAUAAUUUAAAAUGAAUAUUGUAUAAAUACCAAUUUUGAGGUUUUCAUAGAUUUUACAGAAAUUAUCGUUCAUUUUCCUUUUUUUUUUGUUUGUCUUACUUUAUUUUUAAUUUUUAAUUUUAAAAAUUAUGUAACAACAUUUUACUUUUCCUUAAAAUUUUAUUUUGAUUUAUGUCAUAUAAGAUUUUGCGUGUCAUUUAAUGAUUAAAUUAACAAUUUUCAUAAUGAAAGGACCUGAUUAAUAAAACAUCGAUUGUUUUGAGACGUAAUUAGAAUGUUUAAGAAACAUAAUUAAUCAAGCUCAUCAUUUAAAAAAAUUAAAACACUUGUCGACAAAAAAAGAAUAAAACAGUAUCACGUGUCACGUGGGUAUUUAAUGUGCUUUACAAAUAUUUAAUGUGGGAACUAAUAAUUAUAUUUUAAAAAUUUAAUUAGAAUUUUUUAAAUUUUAGAAACCAAUUUAAAAUAUAAAUUAUAAUGGAAGGAUGUUUAGUACAAUUAACUAUUUGUACUAUUAUAUCUUUUUGGGAUAACGUUAUACUUUCAUAAAAUUUCUACGGUAGUAUUUGUAUUUUGAAAAUAUCUAAUGUGACACCUGAACUACUAAUAUAUUUUUUUAUUAUGGUACCUGCAAUUUUGUAAAAUAUUUAAUGUGAUAUUUGAACUAUUAAUGCGUUUUUAUUAUGGUACCUAGUGUUAAUAUUGUUAAUGAAUUACUAAACCAGCCAAUAAAAAUUUGAUACGUAAUUUUUUUUAAAUCAUCCAAAUCCACAUGAAUAAUAUAAAUUAUAUAGAAAAAUAAAUAAAAGAAAAACAAAUUAAUUAAAUAUAUUAUUAAUAAAAAGGAUCUAUUAUUAAACUUACAUAAAUAAAAAUGUCAUCUUCUUCAUUUAAGUAAAUUUUAUGUGCCAAAACUUUUAUUGAUUGCUUUAGCAAUUCACUAAUAAUGUUAACGCCAAGUGCUAUAAUAGAACACGUAUUGAUAGUUAAGGUAUCACAUUGGAUAUUUUAUGAAAGUACAAGUACCAAAUAUGACAUUAUCUUCUUCUUCUUCUUUUCUUUCUUUUUUUCUUUUUUUGAGUUCUAAUCUUUUUAAUAGAUGUUUUUUCUAAUGUUGUAAAAGAGCCUAUUUAUUGACUAAAUUCGUAGGUAAAAUAAAUUAUGCUAAUAAAUGCUAAAUAUAUUACACUAAUAAGUACUAAAUCUUCUAAAAAGAAAAUAUAUUUUGUUAAACUUAACUUGCAAACAAUCUCUUAUUUUAUUCAACAAGAAUUUGGAUCACACAACUCUAACAAUAAUACUUACACUUAUUAGGGAUGACAAUAGAGCGAGCUAGGAUAGAUGUUGUCAAAUCCACCACUGCUCCACAGUUGGUACACUUCACUUCACCACUUGCCCUGUUUUAUUACAUAUGUGUAACCUUGAAAACUAUUACCACUUCUAUAGAUGUUGGAUACACCCCACUCCAUCCCACAUCAAUUUAAUUUUUGUUAAUUAUUUCUAAAAUUUUUAAAUUUUUUAUAAGACAACUAAGCAUAACUUUAAAAAAAAAAUCCAAACAUAAAAGCUUUUUUUAUAAUGAUUAUACAUAUUAUACGAGUAAAAUGAUAAUUUUAUAUAGUAAAGAGCAAAUAAUUAUUAUAACUGCUUCGUGCUGAUUAUCCACCAAAAAAAAUUAUCCAAUUUGUCAUACCUUGCAACUAUCCUUCAUAAAAAAAAUGUAUUCUAUUUAAAACUGAACGAUUUAAAAUCCAUAAAACGAAUCCUAUUGUAGCAUCCUCAAAUAUAUAAUACUUAAAAAAUGGUAGCUUUCAAUUUUCAUACAAGAAGAAACAAACCACAUUGCGUGAACUUGUUGACAAAACGAUAACCUUUUAUCUUCUUCACUUUGACUAGGUGCAGUUCCAUUUGUGUGGUGGUUCAGCAUUACCAUCAUUAAUUACUACAAGUCAAAACCUAAUAAUGUUUUUUAUAAAGGUAUAAUCAGGAUUGUACUUUUUAUUAAUUAAAUUUAUUUUUUGUUGCACCAAAAUUAUUUAAAGCAUAAAUUUAAUAUAAACACAAAAUUGAAAUUUAUUUAUAACAACUUAUUGAAUUUUAAUUUAAUUAGUAUUUUUAUUAUUUUAUUCAUCGAAAAAGAAUUUAGAUAUACAUAUUUUUUUUGUGUGAAUUAUAGAAGGAGUCGGGCUGAGCCCAAUCAAAAUUUUAGUUUCGUUUGUAGGCUUGAGACUAGCUCGACCCAGAUAAAAAUGUUAAAACUCGAAUUUAGUCUGGCCCAGUAGUAUUAAUUUUUUUAUUUUAUUUUUUAAAAAAAUUUAAUACAUCAAAAAUACUAUAACUAUUAAAAAAUGUUUCUUAACAAAUUAAAAAACAUAUAUAUUAAAUAAAACUAAGAUAAGUAAUUCUAGCCCAUGGAUAGAUCUAAACCUUCCAAUUUUUCGAAUGAUCUGACAUAUGGAUAAAUUUAAAAAUAAAGCCCUAACAAUAACGCAACUAAUAUGACUCGAACUAUUGAAACAAUAAACAUUCUUACUAUUAAACCAACACUAUUCACAUUACUAUUUAAAGAUUGGAAAAAAAAGAAUGAUAUUUAAAAGGGAAAAAAAAAGAAAUUUACUUGCAAUAACCUUGAGCAACAUCAUCCACAAAAGCUUUAAGGUUCAUAUCCAUGGACCCACCUUCCAUGGCGACUUCCCUGGCUAACCCUUUCCAUUUCUCUACAUUUUUCUUCACUUCCAUCCCUUUCUCAUCAUCCCCCAUCACCAAAUCCAAGCACCUAACGAUCUCAUCACGUUCCACGAUCCCUUCCUCAUUACCGCUCACUCUCACCCCAGUUCCCCACACAUCUUCAAUCAGCUUCGCACUAGUCCCUUGAUCCGUCCACUGAGGAAAAGCCACCACCGGUACACCGGCAACCAGGCUCUCUAACGUCGAGUUCCACCCACAAUGCGUCACGAAGCAACCCAACGACGGAUGAGACAACACUUCUACUUGCGAACACCAUGGAACCACCAUUCCAAAUUGUUCCAAUUCUUCCCUGCAAGUUAACUUAUCUUCUUCUUUC